GCCAUGUGUAGAAACUGAUCAGCCACAACAUUAAAACCACUGACAGGUAAAGUGAAUAACAUUGAUAUAUUGUUACAAUGUUAUCUGUCAAGGGGUGGAAUAUAUUAGACAGCAAGUGAACAGACAGUUCUUGAAUUUUACGUGUUGGAAUCAGGAAAAAUGGGCAAGCAAAAGAUCUGAGUGACAAGGGCUAAAUCAUGAUGGCUAGACAACUUUUUCAAAACAUCUCCAAAAUUGCAAGUCUUGUAGGGUGUUCCUUGCAUGCAAUGGUUAGUACCAACCAGAAGUGGUACAAGGAAAGACAAUUGGAGAACCAGCAUCAGGGGCAUGGGCUCCUAAGAUUCAUUGAUGCACAUGGGGGCCUUGUCCCUCUAGUCCGAUCGCAAUUUGAACUGUACUUCUGAAAAACGUAAUGCUGGCCACGAUAGGAAGGUGUCAGAAC